ACCCCGGAGAAAUAUCAAACUCGAAUGCCAUCUCUGGCAUAUAUAAUUGUUCAAGGAAUGCCAUUGGAACUUCAGAUAAUUGUGUACAGACUGAGUGCUACUUGCCCGGUUAUGACUUAACAAAGAUUGACAAUGGUGUGAGUGUCUGGACAUUAACAGAGCUGGACUGUCAAUGCUUCUGUACCAAAAUCAGGAGAAAUACUUCAUUAAAUUUAACACACAAAAAAAGAGUGAAGGCAGUAAACAAUUACCAUUAUUAGUUACCUUCAUAUUGUUAUUUAUCUGUUUAAUCAUAAUGACAAUUCAGAUCUAAACUUUUUCCGACACUUUUUCUCCAUUUUAAAUAUUUCUUUUAUCCUUUCAUUUUCUAUCUUUUCCUUUAAUCUCUUCAUUAUCUGUUUUAACAAUGAUUUAUCCUUUAAAAAAAUGAAGUUUUGUAUUGUCACCAAGUGCUGAAUUGUAUGAUUGGUAUACGGUCGAUGGUAAUUGCUGGUGCUUUGAUUCUUCUAAACAAGUAAUUCUAAGAAAAAAUCUUGUUGGCUUCUCAGGGAUUUUCAAUUGUCCUUCCACGAAUGUUAUUGUUAAUGGUUUUGAUCAGGAUGAUUGUUCUGGAGUUAAAUACUGUUCUGCUGAAAAUAAAGUAGAAGUUUCGGGAAUCAAUACUUACGAACUGUGUGGAUGCCAAUGCAGUAAAAUCAGGACCUGUACAGAUUUUUUCUGGAUUCAAAAUCAAACAUGUUUUCUGGUAGAACAACACUCUACUAUUACUGUUGAACGCCAGGUGGCUACAUACCCUUGUCCAGAAACCACAACUACAACUACAACUACAACUACAACUACAACUACAACUACAACCACAACCACAACUUCAACUACAAAUACAACUACAACUACAACCACAACUUUAAAUACAACCCGCACUUCAACUACAACCUCUACCAAAACCACAACUACAACUACA